CCUACGGGAGGCAGCAGUGAGGAAUAUUGGUCAAUGGCCGGAAGGCUGAACCAGCCAAGCCGCGUGAAGGACGAAGGUGCCAAGCAUUGUAAACUUCUUUUGUCAAGGGACAAAAUCAGGCUCGAGAGCCUGACCGAGGGUACUUGAAGAAAAAGCAUCGGCUAACUCCGUGCCAGCAGCCGCGGUAAUACGGAGGAUGCGAGCGUUAUCCGGAUUUACUGGGUGUAAAGGGAGCGUAGACGGCAGCGCAAGUCUGGAGUGAAAUGCUGGGGCCCAACCCUAGAAUUGCUCUGGAAACUGGGAAGCUGGAGUGCAGGAGAGGUAAGCGGAAGUCGUGGUGUAGCGGUGAAAUGCGUAGAGAUCAGGAAGAACUCCGACGGCGAAGGCGGCUUACUGGACUGUAACUGACGUUGAGGCUCGAAGGCGUGGGGAGCAAACAGGAUUAGAUACCCUUGUAGUC
rnacentral:rRNA from 1 species